UACGGAGGGUGCAAGCGUUAUCCGGAUUCACUGGGUUUAAAGGGUGCGUAGGCGGGUUGGUAAGUCAGUGGUGAAAUCUUCAAGCUUAACUUGGAACUGCCGUUGAUACUAUCAAUCUUGAAUAUUGUGGAGGUAAGCGGAAUAUGUCAUGUAGCGGUGAAAUGCUUAGAUAUGACAUAGAACACCAAUUGCGAAGGCAGCUUACUACACAAAUAUUGACGCUGAGGCACGAAAAGCGUGGGGAUCAAACAGG
rnacentral:rRNA from 1 species